rnacentral:rRNA from 1 species
AUGACGAUCAUUGACCGCUCCAACUUUCUGAAGCUAGAGAAGCAAGAGGACAGAGGGGCAAAGGAGGGUUUGGGCACCCAAUCAGCUGAAGGCGCAUCAAUCUGGCUUGCCCCUGAUACACUAGUUUGUGUUCAUUUUCUGUUUCUGAUUGAGCAUCUCAACAGCUCCAUAGCAGGCCCCUUAGCAGAAGGUUUCUGUCAAGUAAUUCAAGUGUGGAGUUCAUUGUUUUGUACUUUUAAGCUGCCACAUCUUGUUGGUUGGAUUUGUAAAAUUGUACAAAACCUGUUAAGAUCAUUAUAA